UUCAAGCUCUAAAUUUGCAAACCACCAAAAAUAAGUUGUAGAAAGAUGACAUGAUUGCAUUGACAUAUUGCCACUAAACAUCUGUAAUCUUGGAUAAAUAACAUUCAAGCAUCAAUGAUUUAAUUAAUUGUAGCAACAAUCUACUUUGCUACGCAAAAGUUUUUAAAAAAGUGUUUCAAAUUUGUUGGCAAUGCAUCGAAAUAUUUUAUGAUUUUCUUUGUCUUACUAUCAGGGCAUGAUUAUUUCUCUAACUUAUCUUGCAGAAGGAUUAAGCAAACAAUCAUAUUGCAUUCAUAACUUUCUGAAGUUAAGUUACUGAAUAAAAAAUCCAUAAAAUUCAAUCCGAAUAUUCUUGAAAACAAUGCUUUAUUUGUGAAAGCUUCUAAUGUUUCAUUAGUUUUCUAAUCGAAAACCCAGUUUUGAGAAAAUCGGCUUUUAAGUUUUUGAGCAAUUUUUCAUUUCAUACAAAUUUUACGGGAUCUAAAAAACAAGCCAAUAUUCUAUUUUUAUUUAUUUUAUUUAUUUUAUUGAUGUACAAGGGGGUCAGGGGCCAAGUCUCCAGCAUAAGUUUGAAAACUCAUACCGUUCAUAAUACACCGGGGGAUUUGGAGUUUUGGAAGUAGGCAACGCAACAUCUUUGACCAGAAGAAACUUUAUACUUAACAAAGGCGUAGAGUGCAGCAAGAUUGGUGGGCGGAUCAAGUGCGUAUCGAUUUGGCGAGCGUGGGGCAGAACCGAGGAUGGGGCAAACCGACGUUUUCUCGGCCAUUACGCUGCCAUGAUAAGAGAUGCCUUUCCUCUUCGAUGAAUUAUUCCUCGAAGCGGGUUAGAUAUGAAAACAAGGAUAAAGAGAGAAGGAAUGUUAGUGAUUGUUACAUGCUUUAUGGCAGUAUUGGCGUACAUUGAAGUCAUACAAAAUUCGCUCUUUGGAUUCCCACGAUAACAAUCCCUGAAACUAA